UAUUACAAUAAUCACGCCACGACGCCCGUCACCCCACCUUAAAUCAGUCGGUGGGUUUGUAUAUAAAGGCGUCUGAGAUCUCGACUCCGGCAUAACGCAUCCUUUGUGCAUAUCUAUUCUUUGUUUUAACUUUCAUCCUCAAAAACCAACCAAAAACCAAAAAUGGGCGCAGAAAAAGUAUCCAUGAACAUCGUCGUCGUCGGACAAGUGCAAUCUGCCAAGGCGGUCAAAUCGAUCGCCAAAGCUACACCAGCGAUCAGCCAACUUAUGAACUGUUAAUUCAUCCAGUCCAUCACAUUGCAAAACUCAAAAAUGCCAUAGCCCAAACAAUACAAUAAUAAUAUGUACCUAAUUCAUAUUUCAUAUCAGUAUUGAAACCGCAAAAUAAAUCAGUCGUUUCCGAUAAACUUAACUGUUUUUUGUGUCAUUUUUUAUCUUUACCUGAUUCUUUGUCCAUAAUACAGACUCACGAUUUUUUAAUUAGGUGGCGAUGAAUAAUAAUAUAAUUGAUUUUAAAUUGAUUUAAUCGUUUUGUAUCAUAUUGUUAAUAUGCCGAUCGUCGUCUUGUGUAACAAAUAUCAGUCAUAACAUACUUGACAAUAUAUUUUAAUAUUAUCGGAGGUAGAUUAUAAUAAAGAUACAAAUAGUCUUUCAAAAAGGAUUAAUAGAAUUAAUGGAAAUAAUUUAAAAUGUGAUUAAAUAGUGAGCCCAACCAAAACAUUAAAGCCGCGUACACACUUGUAACAUAUUUUUCUGUUACGUCGUAACGCCGUAACACCGUUCCACAAGUUGUCGGUAAAUUUGGCCGCAUCAAAGGACGUUACGCGCAAAUGUUACAAGUGUGUACGCGGCUUAACAUUUACUAUUAAGUAGUGCAACUAUAAACUAUCGGUUGUUCGAUAUCAGAGUACCUAAUCAAUAUGAACUAAUAAUCGGUCAUUGGCCUUCCUAAACACUUGUUGAGUAUAACCUAACCCAUACCUAUUUAAUUAUAAAUUAAAACAAUAAUAUAACAGUAGAUAUAAUCAUAUUGGAUUAAUAUCCAGGUGUGUUUUAUUUAUUUAUUUUGGGCACGAACAUAAUUAUAUGUCCAAAUACAAAAUAUAAUCGAUGAGUAUUAAGAUUUAUUUUGCCAUUAAUUAAAAUAUUUGAAAUGUAUUGUGAUAGCAACAUAUAAAUUUAGAUAGCGAUUGUGAGUUAUUGUUGUAAUCCAGAAAUAACAUAAUUACAUCUAAAUACCUCCCACUUAAUUUUUGUAAUAGGUGGUUUCAUUCCAAGAUGACUCAAAAAGUCAAAAACCGCACGAAAAACGAUUUUCGGCGUUAGCGUUUUAUCUCGUGUUGGUCUGACGGAGAACAAAUAAUAAUGCGCCGACAUCCUCUUGGCGUGUUCACACGACGCG